UACAGAGGGGGCAAGCGUUGUUCGGAAUUACUGGGCGUAAAGGGCGCGUAGGCGGCCCGCUAAGUCGAACGUGAAAUCCCUGGGCUCAACCCAGGAACUGCGUCCGAUACUGGUUGGCUUGAAUCCGGGAGAGGGAUGCGGAAUUCCAGGUGUAGCGGUGAAAUGCGUAGAUAUCUGGAGGAACACCGGUGGCGAAGGCGGCAUCCUGGACCGGCAUUGACGCUGAGGCGCGAAAGCCAGGGGAGCAAACGGG
rnacentral:rRNA from 1 species